GACGAACGCUGGCGGCGUGCCUAAUACAUGCAAGUCGAGCGGACGGAUGGGAGCUUGCUCCCAGCCCGUCAGCGGCGGACGGGUGAGUAACACGUGGGCAACCUGCCUGUAAGACUGGGAUAACUCCGGGAAACCGGGGCUAAUACCGGAUAACUCUUUCCCUCACAUGAGGGAAAGCUGAAAGAUGGCAUCUCGCUAUCACUUACAGAUGGGCCCGCGGCGCAUUAGCUAGUUGGUGAGGUAACGGCUCACCAAGGCGACGAUGCGUAGCCGACCUGAGAGGGUGAUCGGCCACACUGGGACUGAGACACGGCCCAGACUCCUACGGGAGGCAGCAGUAGGGAAUCUUCCGCAAUGGACGAAAGUCUGACGGAGCAACGCCGCGUGAGUGAUGAAGGUUUUCGGAUCGUAAAACUCUGUUGUCAGGGAAGAACAAGUACCGGAGUAACUGCCGGUACCUUGACGGUAACUGACCAGAAAGCCACGGCUAACUACGUG
rnacentral:rRNA from 1 species